rnacentral:lncRNA from 1 species
UUUUUUUUUUAAUUCCAGUUAGUUAAUGUACAGUGUUAUCUUAGUUUUAGAUGUACAAUAUAGUAGUUCAACAAUUCAUUACAACACUUGGUGCUCAUCACAAGUUCCCUCCUUAAUCCCCAUCACCUAUUUCACCCAUCCCUCUAACCCCCAAAAAUCUAAUUUCUGAAGCAGAGCCACAGUUAUGGGGGGUUUGUUUUAUUACAUUUCCUUGAACUAUAUAUAUAGUUCAUAUACAGUCUUUUCUAUGCAUAAUUAAAAUUAAAGCAAACUUAAAAAGAAAAAUUAUAGUUAAAUCAUAUGCUAUAAAUAUAGAUCUUUAUUAUUUUUAUGUAAAUUAUUAGAAAUCUGCUAUUUAUUAUGGAUAUGUUGACGGUCUAAACUAUUAUUUAACAUACCAACUAUACAUUUAUUUGGAUCAAUAUUAAAAGAAAACUAACAUAAAGGCAUAUAAUGAUGCUUCUCCUUUAAAUCCACAACUCUUAUAAAUGUUUAUAAAAUUUAUUCAAAUACUCAACUUCUGCACACAAUUGAGCUUCCCUGAAUUUUUUGAUGAAGUUAGAAGUAUAAGGGAUAAAUUUACUUCUGCUGUGAUUCAUUAAUUACUGAUAAUGCUCCAAAGCAGUGAUUUAACAUGCAAAUGUAAAAUUUCUAUCUCUUCCUCUAUUUCAUUAUCAAAAUUUUCCAACUACCUUGUUCAUUAGAAAGAUGGAAGUCUUUCAUUCAUUCAAUGUCUGACUUCCAUGGGGAUGUUCACUCCAGCAAUAGCUGUAUAUUCUCCCAGCUAGGUAAAAAAUGAAAAUCAAGGACACAUCCAUUAUAUGGUUAUUUCUUCUUUACUGGUAAUGGCCAUUCAGUUGUAACCCAAAGUUGAAAAAUAACUAGUACAACAUAGUCUAGUCUUUUUUCCUUCUCAUUUACUUGACUAUCUUGUUCCUUAUUUCUAAUAAGUGCUCACAUGGCAUUGAAAGAGUUUUUAUUACUGAAACUGGCUUUCCACCAGAUUUUUCCUUGCUUUAUCCCUAAUGUCAUUACAAAUUGUAUUCGCUUUUGAAAAAACUUUAAAGGAGCUGAAUUUAAGCUAUACACUGUUAUUUGCAUAUAUGUAUUGGCACUGUAUUUUACAAUGUGCUCUUCCAAGCCAACAUAGAAGUGCUUACGCAUAUGUGCACACAUGUGCACACACAAGCACACACACACACACACACACACUUCACAAAGGUAAACUUCUGAGAGCUGAAAGCAAAUUCGAAACUCAACCUAACAUUGACCUCCAAAAUUCAAAGCAUGUUAGUGAGUGUUGUAUGAGUGUCCUGAAGCUGAGGACCUGGGACACAGAUGCACGUAGAAAGCAAGUAUAUUUCUGGUAAGCCUUUUUCCAGCAUAGUACAUGUUGCAAAUUGAUCACAACACUCUUUUCACUUAGCCAUGAAAAUGAAUUACAACACUUUUCAAAAACAGCACAGCAGGAGGUCACACCAAUUCAUCUGAGUUGGUGCCUAAUUGCCUUCUGUGACCAAUUAGAAAAAUGGUGACUUCAUUGAACCAAGUAUUCUAAAUCACCCUGUCAGGUCAACUCUAAUUUUCAUAGUAGUCAGAAGAUAAAAGACCAACCAAAUGUAUAUCUUAAUUUAUUAUAUGUCCUGGCCAGUGGCACCUGGCAACACAGUUUCCACUUAGGAAGAGGAUGUAUGGGAAAUACUGAUGCCAGAAAAAUCUUCACUAAGACAGUGAAGCAGUUUAAAGAACUUCCAGGAUGCUCCAUUCGUCCUUCGAACUCAUUUCAUUUCAUCUUUUUAGCAGAAAUGGUUCCUUAGCAGUAGUCAAAUGGUUUGAAAAGCCAGCUCUUUCUAUGGACACUCAUGUUUAUAAGGUUUAUUACACGAUAUUUAAUGUCAAGAUAUACAAACUCUGUGGGUUUCUUGUUUGAUUACUUGUAUUUUUGUUAAUGUAACAUAAAUUUAGUGACAGAGGUGUUGCAGUUAUGAAGGAACUUCUAACCAUAGCCAGGAACUUCAUAACAUACACACACAUGCAUACACACAUGCAUAUGCACAUACAUACAUACAUGCACACACAUAUACAUAUAUUUAUUUAUGCACACAUUUUUCUUUUUUGAGCAAGGGAGAGCACACAGGGAGAGUGAGAGGGAGAAGCAGACCCUCCACUGAACAGAGAACCUGACGUGGGCUUCGAUUUCAGGACCUGAAAUCCUAACCAGAGCUGAAGGCAGACAUUUAACCAACUGAGCCACCCAGGUGCCCCACACAAUAUUAAUAUAUACACUAUAUAUACACACAUUAUUAAACAUACACAUUAUAUAUAUGUAUAUAUAUAUGUAAAAAAUUCCCAUUAGAUAAGAAGAAAAACACCUAAUGAUUCUGAAAGUAGCCUUUGCAUACUUCUGGACACUCUUCGUACAUAUAGAGCCUUUGUAAAAGUUGAUUCUUAAAAAUACUAACAAUGUAACAGACAAGGAAGCCAACAAUCAAUCAAACAAACAAACAAACAAACAAACAAAAAACAGAUAAUAAGCUAUUUUAUCUACUAUUCUCUCAAUUUUCACAACACAAGAAGUUUGGAAGAAAUAAUUUGGUUACCUUCAUUUUUGAAAUUUUGGUUGUACAAUAAAAAUUUCUGAAAUUAUUAUGUGUCUUGGGGAAGGAGUUUAAUUUUUCACUUUUAAAUGUAUAGCUUCUAUUUUUUUUAAAUUAGCUAGUGAAUUUGACAGGCCUUAUUCAAUAUAAAUGCUAUGUUCCAAGGAUGUUAGGAAACAAGGUCAAUUAUUUGCCUUUCACUUUCAGAGGUAGAGUCUAUACAACCUUGAAUUGAAGUAAAUCACUAGAAACACAUAAGCAUAUUUAGUCUGAAUCUGUUCACAAAAUAAUUAGAGAACUUAAUCUAUAUGCAUACAAGAAUGUCAGUAAUGAUGUUUACAUGUUUACCAAAGCACUGGUUAUUUACGAAUAGGGCUUCUGGAUGAUUUAUAAUGUAUUUCUUGUCUUUCCUGUGUUGCUCGAGUUGUUUAUAAUUGUCAUAUAUUCAUUAUGAAAAUAAUGUUAUUAUUAUGAAGCUAAGUAAAAUAAAACGUGUUAACAGACAAGUCUUGAAGUUAAACAACAUAGUAAGAAUUUGACACAUUUAACUAUAUAUGGAGAACAUUAAAAAUGAAACAAAAAAAUCACUGCUGCAUUUUAUUUUCCCACUAACCUGAAUAACAAACUAGGGCACCACUGAAAGAGUAAAGCACAAAUUAAAAGUUGCAUUAGGAGCUGAACCACUGAAUCAAAAAUGUUUCUAAUAAUAAUAUAUCGGGCAGGCUGGAU